UACGUAGGGUGCGAGCGUUAAUCGGAAUUACUGGGCGUAAAGCGUGCGCAGGCGGCUUUGUAAGCCAGAUGUGAAAUCCCCGGGCUUAACCUGGGAAUGGCCGUUGAAACUGGCGAACUGGAGUGUGGCAGAGGGGGGUGGAAUUCCGCGUGUAGCAGUGAAAUGCGUAGAUAUGCGGAGGAACACCGAUGGCGAAGGCAAUCCCCUGGGCCUGCACUGACGCUCAUGCACGAAAGCGUGGGGAGCAAACAGG
rnacentral:rRNA from 1 species